rnacentral:rRNA from 1 species
AAGUCUGGUGCCAGCAGCCGCGGUAAUUCCAGCUCCAAUAGCGUAUAUUAAAGUUGUUGCAGUUAAAAAGCCCGUAGUUGAACUUCAGACCUGGUGGGGUGGUCCGCUUAACGGCGUGUACUGCUCUGCUGGGCCUUACCUCUUGGUGAGCCGGCGUGGCCUUAACUGGUUGCGUCGGGGAACCAGGACUUUUACCUUGAGAAAAUUAGAGUGUUCAAAGCAGGCCUAUGCCUGAAUACAUUAGCAUGGAAUAAUAAAAUAGGACGUGCGGUUCUAUUUUGUUGGUUUCUAGAGUCGCCGUAAUGAUUAAUAGGGAUAGUUGGGGGCAUUGGUAUUGAGUCGCUAGAGGUGAAAUUCUUGGAUUGACUCAAGACCGACUACUGCGAAAGCAUUUGCCAAGGAUGUUUUCAUUAAUCAAGGACGAAGGUUAGGGGAUCGAAAACGAUCAGAUACCGUUGUAGUCUUAACAGUAAACUAUGCCGACUAGGGAUCGGGCAACCUCAAAUUUGAUGUGUCGCUCGGCACCUUACGAGAAAUCAAAGUUUUUGGG